rnacentral:rRNA from 1 species
AGAGGUAAGAGGUACUACAGGGGUAGGAGUGAAAGUCUUGUAAUCCCUGUGGGACCACCUGUGGCGAAGGCGUCUUACCAGAACGGGUUCGACGGUGAGGGACGAAAGCUGGGGGCACGAACCGGAUUAGAUACCCGGGUAGUCCCAGCCGUAAACGAUGCUCGCUAGGUGUCAGGCAUGGCGCGACCGUGUCUGGUGCCGCAGGGAAGCCGUGAAGCGAGCCACCUGGGAAGUACGGCCGCAAGGCUGAAACUUAAAGGAAUUGGCGGGGGAGCACAACAACGGGUGGGAAGCCUGCGGUUUAAUUGGACUCAACGCCGGACAACUCACCGGGGGCGACAGCAAUAUGUAGGCCAAGCUGAAGACUUUGCCUGAAUCGCUGAGUAGUGGUGCAUGG